ACUCUUAAUAAACCUCUAAUUAUCUGAGGGCUGGAGAACUUCCUUGCCUAGUGGAGAAAAGGCCUUCUGGCCUUAGCAGAUGGCUUUGCUCUGUGGAUGAGCAUUAGGCACAAUGUUAGGCCUUGGUCUUAGGCUGCUGAAGAGUAGUGUGUGUCUCAGAGCUGCUUUGGGGGAUACUUCCUGACCUKCCUCACGUCAGUCUUGCACAAAUGCUAGUGCUGGAGCAUAAGAGAAGAAUUUCAAUGCACAGGUCACAAGAAUCUAGAGAAAACCAUUUCAAGAAGACAGUCAUUUUGGUGUAAGGGAGCUGCACGUGCCAGCCUGGCAUCUGCUGUGCUAUGAAAGGAUCACCAUUCAUGGAGCUGAGGCCCAAGAAAAGCUGACCUGGAGCCAUGGUCAGUUUGCUAUGGCCAAGGAAACGAAGCUCUGGUGCAUGAGCAAGCCAA